AGUGAACGCUGGCGGUAGGCCUAACACAUGCAAGUCGAACGGCAGCACAGGAGAGCUUGCUCUCUGGGUGGCGAGUGGCGGACGGGUGAGGAAUACAUCGGAAUCUACUCUGUCGUGGGGGACAACGUAGGGAAACUUACGCUAAUACCGCAUACGACCUACGGGUGAAAGCAGGGGACCUUCGGGCCUUGCGCGAUUGAAUGAGCCGAUGUCGGAUUAGCUAGUUGGCGGGGUAAAGGCCAACCAAGGCGACGAUCCGUAGCUGGUCUGGGAGGUUAGACAAUCACACUUGGACUUAGACACUGGUCAGAUUUCUACGGGAUGAAGGAGGUGGGAAUAUGGGACAAUUGGUCCAAGCCAUAUCCAGACAUACCGCGUGGGUGAAGAAGGCCUUCGAGUUGUAAAGCCCUUUUGUUGGGAAAGAAAUCCAGCUGGAUAAUACCCGGUUGGGAUGACGGUACCCAAAGAAUAAGCACCGGCUAACUUCGUGCCAGCCGCCGCAGUAA
rnacentral:rRNA from 1 species